GAAAGUGGCGGCUUGUAGCGGAGACUUUGGAACUAAUUUGCACAUCCACGCAGAAAUAACGGGUCUAAUAAUUUUCUAAGACCGAUUUUAUAGUCGAGUGUUAUACUUAAGCCGUCUUAAGUUCUUUUCAGAUAUUCCGUAGCUAAUGAAAUAAUCCGUACAUCAUCUGAAGAUGAACUUAAGGCGAUCUUAAAUCCGACUAUGAAUACCGUUUUUAGACUCUUUAUUUGGCUGUCUAGCGUUCGGUUGGUAGAAUCUAUCUCAUAUAAAAGUUUGUGACACUGAGACUUCAAAUAGAUCUUGACGAGGCAAGAGAAUAAAUGUAUUCCACGAAUCCUUUCGUUUUCGCUAUUUUGACUCACCGGAUGCUGGUCCAGUGGCCGAAUUAUCGUCGAAAGUACUGAAGAUAUCGUACAUGAUAUAAAAGCUGCGCAAUAAUACACUAUGCUAGCGACAUCGUGGUUAUAAAAUUAGAGAAUCGGUCUACAGGAUACUCAGUGACAGGACGGCAAUGUGUCAGUGCCAAUGCGAUAAUAUCAAUGUCAGUGUAAGGACCAAUAUCAGGUUUGAAGCCACAAGUGAAUAUUAAAAAUAACGAAGCAACUAGAAGUUAGUAUUCCCGAUUGGGAAAUCAGGACGCAGAACAAGCGGUAGAAGACGUGACAUGAUGAUGCAAGGAUUGGAAAGACAGGUGCUGUGCAAGUUAGAAGAUUAAAAUGCAAAAAUAAGAGGAAGAUAUAGGAAACUCACGAUGCUGAAGGAGGCAUAUAGAAAGUGAUAAAAAGGGCAAAGGAAUCACUUUAUAGAGUAGGCAAGGAUAAGAGCGAGGAUCGUGGAAAUGAAAUCAAGUCGUGCUUCUUUUUUCAUUCUGGCUUUAUAAUGUUCGAAAUUCUUCAUUUCAUACAAAUUAAGUGAGGGAAGUUAUAAUACAAACUUAAGAUAUAUA